GAUGAACGCUGGCGGCGUGCCUAAUACAUGCAAGUCGAACGCACAGCGAAAGGUGCUUGCACCUUUCAAGUGAGUGGCGAACGGGUGAGUAACACGUGGACAACCUGCCUCAAGGCUGGGGAUAACAUUUGGAAACAGAUGCUAAUACCGAAUAAAACUCAGUGUCGCAUGACACAAAGUUAAAAGGCGCUUUGGCGUCACCUAGAGAUGGAUCCGCGGUGCAUUAGUUAGUUGGUGGGGUAAAGGCCUACCAAGACAAUGAUGCAUAGCCGAGUUGAGAGACUGAUCGGCCACAUUGGGACUGAGACGCGGCCCAAACUCCUACGGGAGGCUGCAGUAGGGAAUCUUCCACAAUGGGCGAAAGCCUGAUGGAGCAACGCCGCGUGUGCGAUGAAGGCUUUCGGGUCGUAAAGCACUGUUGUAUGGGAAGAACAGCUAGAAUAGGGAAUGAUUUUAGUUUGACGGUACCAUACCAGAAAGGGACGGCUAAAUACGUGCCAGCAGCCGCCGUAA
rnacentral:rRNA from 1 species